GAUGUUUGUUUCUUCCCCUGGCCUUUCUACAUAAGAUAUAUAGAACCUUGCAUACAAUAGAACAAUUAACGCAUAACUUCUAUGUGCUCUGUAUUGGUAUUUUUUUUCUCCUCAGUACCUUAGGGGGCGUACCUGAACAUCAUAUAUCCUACCUUUCCCUAGAAGGUCAACCCAUCACUACCAUCUUUGUUUAGUUGCUAUAUUAAAUAUGCCAUGAAGUCUUUGGUAAUAGCCCUUCAUUCCCAGGACAUAAAACUUAUUUUGAUAUGAUAAUUAUGCAUCUUUGUUCUGGCUAACCACCACAUUUCUUUCACCAGAAGUAGUGCUAUCAUUCUUAACUGAUCGUCAGGAUUGGCUUAGUUUGUUGAGAUAAAAUCUGCAAGAGUUUAGAUCAUCUUUCAAGCGGCUCAUAACCUGAUCACCAUCCAUUAGUUCUACCACCUUCUGUAUGUCCAGUUAUCCACUUGUCCAGCUUAUGGUUGAAGAGACUUGCAUGGACCAUAGAUGAGAGCAGCUGACAGGGAUUUUGUGUGUGUGUGUGUGUGU
rnacentral:misc_RNA from 1 species